CAUAAAUGUACGUUCAUGAGCAGGGAGCAGAUGGCAGCUGGAACCUCCCUGGGCCCUGGGUCACGUUUUGGGCCGAGAGAGCUGCUCCUUGCUCAGUCCCAUUUACAGGAGCCACAGUGGAACAGCACAGAGCAGACUCUGACGUCAGGCACAGGUGGUGGUAAGACAUAAAUCCUGGAAGCUCUCUGCACAAUGGUUGAAUGCCAAGAAACCGAGCAGUUUACUGGAACAGCAGCAGUUUCUGAUGGCUUUGCAAUGCCAGUUUCAACUAGAAAGGUAAUCCUGGUAGUUCUGCCCCACAGAAUGAGGCACAAACACCGCAAUGAGUGAGUCAGGACACAGAGCUGACUGUAAGAGCAGGAGCGAUGCCUCCGGACAGCGCGGAGUAGAGCUCAGGGUGCAGCAGUGUGUGGUACCAGCUGAACGGACUGGGACUGGCACAACAUUUGUAAAAAAAUUUUUACUUUGCUAUAAAACUUUUACUUCAAGCUCCUCCACCUCCCAUCAAGGCAAAAGACUCUCUCAGGGUGUGGAACCCCUGAGCUGACAGCCCCAAGACUGCGGUGGGAAGACGUGAGGCGCACGACGCACGCCCUGAGCGGGGAGGUGGCCCACAGGCCCCGGCACUUCUGAGCAGGGCUUUGAAAAGACUUUCCAAGGGCACUACACAAAAAGUCCUUUCAAAAGUACUCCAUAAAACACACCUGAAGAAAGCCCGUUAGCCCUGCGCUCUCUGUUUAGCUCAGGUGUUGUUUUUUCACACACAGAAACACAUGUACAGACUCAGUGCGCCGUACAAUGCCCCACUAAAGGCAUCAAGCACUGGUUAUAACUCCUUCCAAGAUCAACAAGGUCUUUUUCCACAAGCAACCCUUUGUGUUUGGGAAGCCUUUGCCCUGGAUUUUACUGUCUCCAAGUCAACCAGCAGGUGCUCUGCAGUCAAACGUGAGCUAUUUAAGUGCAACCUGCAUAACAACUUCCCAGGUUGGCAGGCAACCUUAAAUAGUAGUUAGGGAUUGGAAUGGGUAAGUUUUAUGCAGACAAACAGAAACACUCCCAACAGGAAAAGAAGGAGGGGGGAGGAGGAGGAAAGGAAAAUGAUAUCUGUCUUGGUUUCCAUUUAGUUUUCUCUUUCAUAUGUUGGUAUAAUAACCCUCAAAGAAGAGAGCAAGUCUCCCAGAACCAGACGCCGUGAUAAUCUGACUUUAGACAGUGGUUGUUCUUCAAAUUUUCCAGUUUUGUUUUGGACAACAACAUAAUGUGCUGAUUGUCUAUGGGAUAUUCUCUGCACUUGCACAGGGCUCAGAUAGCCUUUACUGUUAAUACUGAAAGAGUGUUAUUUCAGGCAAGUUGACUUAUAUUUUUUUUCCCCUGGAGAAAGCACUUUGGGGUAGGAAAAAGAAAAAGUGAAAAAGCUCUUUCAGCCAGAUGCCAGAUGUGACAUUUUGCAUUGUAAAGCCACACCACAAUUUAUAAGCCAUGCAACUGCUCAUUUGUCUACCAUUCCCAGGUCAGAUUUUUAAGUCUGUUUCUAGGAUCGCUGCAUUGUAAGACAUAAAAUGUGAUGUUUAUCAAACAAAAAUCAUACCCAUUUGAGAUGCUACACAACUACUCAAGGGUCAAUGCAUCCCUGCCUCAGUGUUAAGUUUCCAGGCAGUGAGGGAAUUGUAUUAUUCAGGAGAUUGUGAUAUUCCUGUAAAUGCCAGCAUUUCUGCUACUGGGAUGUUUCAGUCUGCAUAAAAACAAAUUCUUACCUGUUGUCUGUCCUCUUCUUGCCCUAUACAAGUACUGGCACCGUGGUUUUUUAUAUUUAAUCAUAACUAUUGAUAUUUGUGGGGCAUGGGCAGGAGAGAAACAGAAGAGAGAUGUUGCUGGGCAGUGCUGGCUGUGAAACAAGAGAGGCACAGGGAGCAAGUCAAUCCCCUAAACAGCACCUAUGGUGUGAUAACAACAAAAUAAAGAGAUUUACUUUUAUUGUGUGGUUUUAGCAUAGGUUAUACCAGGCCAGAUAACACACAGACAUAGGAACAGCCACUUCAGUGAGAGCCAGCAGAGCUUCAACUACUGCCUAAAAAUCCACCAAGCAUCACAGAUGCAGCUGGAAGAGAGACAGCACCUUUUCCUGGGCAACAAUGGGACAUUUACUGGGAUAUACAGAUCUCUGCAUGUCAGCUGGCUCUGCCUGCUCCAAAAAAGGCAUCUCCUGUGCACAAGUGGCUGGAAUUAGCACAGGGAGGGCAGAUGAGAUCACCUCACCUGGCCUGGCCAGACCCAGCUCAGCUGGUGCAGUCCUGCUCUUUGAGGCUUGCUCAGUAUCAGUUGUGCAACAUUUAUCAGCGUGGGCUGCUUCCCUAGAUACGGUCGUGACCCCUAAUAGUGGAAAAACUUGUUUUGUUGUAGUGGAGGGAUUUUCCUGAACUAGGUUGAAUAAUAUUUAUUGAACUAAAGUCUGGAGUUGCUGGAGCUGCUCUGGAUUGGCAGGAGCGUGGCUGAGAUCUUUCAUCUUUUCUUUCAUCUGCUCCAAUGCAGAGAAUCACUGUCUGCUCAUUUUUUUAUUCCUUCAGCCUUCAAACCAGAAACUCAGAACUGGCUUUCUGGAUCCCUUGAUCGUUCAGACAGAGAAAUCUGACAAUUCCUCAAACCACAGGAAACUUAAAAAUAGCACUUGUUCCAGCACAGCUACACAUUGUUGUUCUUGAAAUCUGGGUUAGAAAAUACUUGCAGGGUCUCUGAAAGAGAGAAGGCUGAAGCAGAAUGUCUCUAUGACUGCAUUCCUUUAUUUAAACAAUUAACCCUGUGAACAGAAGAGCUGCUGAAGCUGGAUUUGUUAUUGAUUUUGUUCCUCAAGACAAAUUCCUACAAGGAUUCCCCUAUGUCUUGUGUUUUUUCUCUAUUGCAAUAGAGGGGGAGAGGGAGAAGCACAAGAAAGGAAGACAUAGCUUGGGCCUCUGCACUGUAUUCAGCUUUUUAUUUUCACUAAACACCUGGGAUUUGAUUUUCAAGACCUCUACCCUUAAUUGGAAGAACAGGUUGAAAAGUUACUGGAGGAGAAAUCCAGACAUUUCUUUAUCCUCUCUGCCCUGCAGGUUUUCCCAUGAAGGGAAGCAGGUGCUGGUUGUACAGGAACCCACAGGAAUAUUCCACAAAGAACUUGUCAGGAUUCUUUGGGGACAGCAGGACACAGGAGCCUCACCUGGCACUAAUCAAUAGCCUCUACUGAAUGCAGCAAUUCUGGAUUUAUUUACCCUUCACCCUCACACUCCAGGGGCAAUCACGCUGUUUCCCCUGGAGGAGAAGACUCUCAGACUGAUCUAAACUCAAUUAACAGCUCCAGAUCUGAGCUCAGAUGGACGUGACUACCAAGUGCUCCUCCCUGCUGAACAUGCCCACUGAAGGGUUUUAUUAGCCCACACAGCAACUGCUGCUGCCUCCUCUGUCCUUACUGGAGCACACCUGGAUUUAGGGAUCUCCCUGGCCAGCAAAAAAACCACUCCCUGUUGGUACAGUCUAACAAAACAAUGAAAGCAGAGCAAUAGUUGUGUCA